rnacentral:rRNA from 1 species
CCUACGGGAGGCAGCAGUGGGGAAUAUUGCACAAUGGGCGCAAGCCUGAUGCAGCCAUGCCGCGUGUGUGAAGAAGGCCUUCGGGUUGUAAAGCACUUUCAGCGGGGAGGAAGGCGGUGAGGUUAAUAACCUCAUCGAUUGACGUUACCCGCAGAAGAAGCACCGACUAACUCCGUGCCAGCAGCCGCGGUAAUACGGAGGGUGCAAGCGUUAAUCGGAAUUACUGGGCGUAAAGCGCACGCAGGCGGUCUGUCAAGUCGGAUGUGAAAUCCCCGGGCUCAACCUGGGAACUGCAUUCGAAACUGGCAGGCUAGAGUCUUGUAGAGGGGGGUAGAAUUCCAGGUGUAGCGGUGAAAUGCGUAGAGAUCUGGAGGAAUACCGGUGGCGAAGGCGGCCCCCUGGACAAAGACUGACGCUCAGGUGCGAAAGCGUGGGGAGCAAACAGGAGUAGAUACCCGAGUAGUC